rnacentral:rRNA from 1 species
GGUUUUGUAAGCCUGGUGUUAAAGGCUCUGGCUUAACCAGAGUUGAGCGCUGGGAACUGCAAGACUCGAGUUCUGGAGGGGGAGCUGGAAUUCCAGGUGUAGGGGUGAAAUCUGUAGAUAUCUGGAAGAACACCGAUGGCGAAGGCAGCCACCUGGACAGAUACUGACACUGAGGGGCGAAGGCUAGGGUAGCAAACAGGAUUAGAUACCCUGGUAGUCCUAGCGGUAAACGAUGGGCACUAGGUGUUGGCGGUAUCGACCCCGCCAGUGCCGCAGCAAACGCAUUAAGUGCCCCGCCUGGGGAGUACGGUCGCAAGAUUGAAACUCAAAGGAAUUGACGGGGGCCCGCACAAGCGGUGGAGUAUGUGGUUCAAUUCGACGCAACGCGCAGAACCUUACCUGGGCUUGACAUAUACCGGAAAGCCACAGAGAUGUGGUUCCUCCUUCGGGAGUCGGUAUACAGGUGCUGCAUGGCUGUCGUCAGCUCGUGUCGUGAGAUGUUGGGUUAAGUCCCGCAACGAGCGCAACCCUCGUUCUUAGUUGCCAUCAGGUUAUGCUGGGGACUCUAAGAAGACUGCCGGUGACAAGCCGGAGGAAGGUGGGGAUGACGUCAAGUCCUCAUGGCCCUUACGCCCAGGGCUACACACGUACUACAAUGGCCGGUAUAGACGGCAGCAAUACCGCCAAGGUGGAGGCUAAUCCCCUAAAACCCGGCCUCAGUUCAGAUUGGAGUCUGCAACUCGACUCCAUGAAGAGUGGAACUCGCUAGUAAUCGGCAGA